AUCAUGCAAGUCGAGCGGACCGAUGGGAGCUUGCUCCUUUAGGUUAGCGGCGGACGGGUGAGUAACACGUGGGCAACCUGCCCUGCAGACUGGGAUAACUUCGGGAAACCGGAGCUAAUACCGGAUAACACCGAAAACCGCAUGGUUUUCGGUUGAAAGGCGGCUUUUAGCUGUCACUGCAGGAUGGGCCCGCGGCGCAUUAGCUAGUUGGUGAGGUAACGGCUCACCAAGGCGACGAUGCGUAGCCGACCUGAGAGGGUGACCGGCCACACUGGGACUGAGACACGGCCCAGACUCCUACGGGAGGCAGCAGUAGGGAAUCUUCCGCAAUGGACGAAAGUCUGACGGAGCAACGCCGCGUGAGCGAAGAAGGUCUUCGGAUCGUAAAGCUCUGUUGUCAGGGAAGAACAAGUGCCGUUCGAACAGGGCGGUACCUUGACGGUACCUGACGAGGAGGCCACGGCUAACUACGUGCCAGCAGCCGCGGUAAU
rnacentral:rRNA from 1 species